UGGACUGGUAAGUCAGUGGUGAAAUCUCCGAGCUUAACUCGGAAAUUGCCAUUGAUACUGUCGGUCUUGAGUAUAGUGGCCGUUGGCGGAAUAUGACAUGUAGUGGUGAAAUACAUAGAGAUGUCAUAGAACACCGAUUGCGAAGGCAGCUGACGAAACUAUAACUGACACUGAGGCUCGAAAGUGUGGGGAUCAAACA
rnacentral:rRNA from 1 species